UUUUUUCCAAAUGCAAUGCUGAACUCUAGAUUGGAAGGUGAAAAACAAAACAGAGAAAAACUACAGCCACAGAUCCAUUACCCUUCUUGUGCAAGUUCUGCUGUGCUUGAACAGGAAUAUCAGAUAUCAGAACCAAAUCUUCUGCAAGAAGAAGCUAAGUGGCUUCUUUCAAAGGAGGAGCUAAUAGAUAAGAUUGACAUCCUGUCAAUUCAGCUUUCUAAAGCUGAAGAUGAGAUCUACCAAAUACGUAAUGAUCUUCGAAUGAAGACAUUACUUUUAGAAGACACACAGAGAGAAUUGAAAGAGGUCAAAGAUGAGUUAAAGGACCUCAAAAAUGAAAAUUACAUACUAAAGAAAAAAUUGAAUAGAUCCUUUUUGAAACAAGAGACCCUGCAAGGAAAAUUAAAUGAAAUACAGAAGACAAUGAAGCUGCCUCAGAAAACAUUGAAAGAUUCCAAAAACACACCGGUCUUCAUAUCAAAGGGUGUACAGGUGCCCUUUCAGGAUACCUCUAUGACUUUUUAUGCUGACACUGCAGAAAAAGAUCCUGUACUAGAAGAGAGAAAUAAAGAGUCAGUUGAUGACAUACGUGAACUCGAAAAUGAGAAGGCAAAAAGAAAGGAUACAAUAAGAAAACUUCAACAAGAACUUAAAGAUUCCCAAAAGGAAAAACUCAUGAUUUUACAGGACAUUCUCUCAUAUCAAACAAAAUUUUUAUACAUCAAGCAAAAACUUCAGGAGAAAGUAGAUGAAAGCACAAAUAACCUGCAGAAAUCUCAAGAAGAGGAUAAGCAGAAACUGUGGUAUCUUAAAAAGAGGGGAGAUUAUAUACAAAAGCUUAAAAUGGAAAGAGCUCCAUUUGAAGAUGCAGAAAAGCAGCAAAUGGACCCAACUGAAAAAUUCCCCAAACAUUUUUUGGAAUUUCUUAUCAAAUAUGCUGUAAAGCUUGAGCAACAAUUGGAUGCAGUAUCUUCAAGAAAUAGAUAUAUGGAAUGUAUGGAUAGACAUCUUCAAGAAGAAGCAAUAGAAAACUUGAAACAGAAACGUGACAGGCUGGAUCUUAAGCAUCAUUUAGAACUACUUAACUACAUUCAAGUAGAACAAUAUGGAGGAGAGAGGCUGAAGAACAAGUAAAAAAAGUCAAUCCAUUAUUAAAGAAAUAUGCUGAAGAGCUUCAACAACAAUUGGAUGCAUUAUCUUCAAGAAAUAGACAUAUGGGAUGUAUGAAUAGACUUCUUCAAGAAGAAGCAGGAGAAAACUUGAAACAGAAACGUGACAGGCUGGAUCUUAAGCAUCAUUUACAACUACUUAACUACAUUCAAGUAGAAUAAUAUGGACCAAAGGUUAAAGAACAAGUGAAGACAGAGGCUGAAGAGCAAGUAAAAAACAUCAAUCCAUUAUUAAAGAUACAGCAGGCGAUG